rnacentral:rRNA from 1 species
CACCGCGGUUAUACGAGAGGCCCAAGUUGACGAAUGCCGGCGUAAAAUGUGGUUAUUAUAAUAUUUCACUAAAGCCAAACAUCUUCAAAGCUGUUAUAUGCUCUCGAAGACAGGAAGACCCCCCACGAAAGUGGCUUUAAUUUUUAUGAACCACGAAAGCUAGGAAA